rnacentral:tRNA from 1 species
AUGUAGCUCAGCUGGUAGAGUGCUUGUCUAGCAUACAGGAUGCCCUGGGUUCUAUUCCCAGCAU